GGGACGUUUUCGGAUUACUGGGCGUAAGGGUGCGUAGACGGUAUAUUAAGUCUUCUGUUAAAUACUUCGGCCUAACCGAAGAUAUGCAGUAGAUACUGAUGUGCUAGAGGGUGAAAGAGAGAAGUGGAAUUCCCGGAGUAGCGGUAAAAUGCGUAGAUCUCGGGAGGAACACCGAUGGCGAAGGCAGCUUCUUGGUUCACACCUGACGUUGAGGCACGAAAGCGUGGGGAUCAAACAGGAUUAGAUACCCUGGUAGUCCACGCUGUAAACGAUAAUCACUAGAUGUUAGUUCAGCUCUGCUGAAUUAGUGUCAAAGCUAACGCGUUAAGUGAUUCGCCUGGGGAGUACGGCCGCAAGAUUAAAACUCAAAGGAAUUGACGGGGGUCCGCACAAGCGGUGGAACAUGUGGUUUAAUUCGACACUACGCGAGGAACCUUACCUGGGCUUGACAUGCUUAUGACAGUUGUAGAAAUACAAUCUUCUAAACUUUGUUUAGACAUUUGCACAGGUGCUGCAUGGCUGUCGUCAGCUCGUGUCGUGAGAUGUUGGGUUAAGUCCUUUAACGAGCGCAACCCUUGCUAUCAGUUGCUACUUGGAAACAAGGCACUCUGAUGGGACUGCCUGCGAAAGCAGGAGGAAGGUGGGGACGACGUCAAGUCAUCAUGGCCUUUAUGUCCAGGGCUACACACGUGUUACAAUGGCUGAAGACAAAGGGUUGCCAACCCGCGAGGGGGAGCUAAUCCCAGAAAGUCAGUCUAAGUUCAGAUUGAGGUCUGCAACUCGACCUCAUGAAGUUGAAAUCGCUAGUAAUCGCGUAUAAGUAACGGCGCGGUGAAUACGUUCUCGGACCUUGUACACACCGCCCGUCACACCACGAGAGCUGUUUGUACCCGAAGACAUCUUAGUUAACCCGUAAAGGGGAACGGAUGUUUAAGGUAUGGAGAGUGAUUGGGGGUGAAGUCGUAACAAGGUAACC
rnacentral:rRNA from 1 species